rnacentral:rRNA from 1 species
AGACUAAGCCAUGCAUGUCUAAGUAUAAACGCUUCUAUACUGUGAAACUGCGAAUGGCUCAUUAAAUCAGUUAUAGUUUAUUUGAUGGUUCCUUGCUACUUGGAUAACCGUAGUAAUUCUAGAGCUAAUACAUGCAGAAAGUCCCGACCUCUGGAAGGGAUGUAUUUAUUAGAUCCAAAACCGGCGCAGGUCCUCCGGGGCCUGGUUGCUUGGUGAUUCAUGAUAACUGCUCGAACCGUAUGGCCUCUCGUGCCGACGGUGCUUCAUUCAAAUUUCUGCCCUAUCAACUUUCGAUGGUACGGUAGUGGCCUACCAUGGUUGCAACGGGUGACGGAGAAUUAGGGUUCGGUUCCGGAGAGGGAGCCUGAGAAACGGCUACCACAUCCAAGGAAGGCAGCAGGCGCGCAAAUUACCCAAUCCCGACUCGGGGAGGUAGUGACAAUAAAUAACAAUGCCGGGCUAUCGUAGUCUGGCAAUUGGAAUGAGUACAAUCUAAAUCCCUUAACGAGGAACAAUUGGAGGGCAAGUCUGGUGCCAGCAGCCGCGGUAAUUCCAGCUCCAAUAGCGUAUAUUAAAGUUGUUGCAGUUAAAAAGCUCGUAGUUGGAUUUCGGGGCGGCCUGGUUGGUCCGUCGCAAGGCGAGUACUGGUCAGCCGCCCUUCCUCUCGAAAGCCCCGACUGCUCUUCACUGCAGUGGUCGGGUAGUUCGGGACGUUUACUUUGAAAAAAUUAGAGUGUUCAAGGCAGGCUUACGCCUGAAUACAUUAGCAUGGAAUAAUGGAAGAGGACCUCGGUCCUAUUUUGUUGGUUUCUGGGGCCGAAGUAAUGAUUAAGAGGGACAGUUGGGGGCAUUCGUAUUUAAUUGUCAGAGGUGAAAUUCUCGGAUUUAUGAAAGACGAACAACUGCGAAAGCAUUUGCCAAGGAUGUUUUCAUUAAUCAAGAACGAAAGUUAGGGGUUC